UACGUAGGGUGCGAGCGUUGUCCGGAAUUACUGGGCGUAAAGAGCUCGUAGGCGGUAUGUCGCGUUGUUCGUGAAAACCGGGGGCUUAACCCUCGGCGUGCGGGCGAUACGGGCAGACUUGAGUACUGCAGGGGAGACUGGAAUUCCUGGUGUAGCGGUGGAAUGCGCAGAUAUCAGGAGGAACACCGGUGGCGAAGGCGGGUCUCUGGGCAGUAACUGACGCUGAGUGAGCGAAAGCGUGGGGA
rnacentral:rRNA from 1 species